GGUAUUUGUCUUUCUCUGACUUAUUUUCCUUAGUUUUAUACUCUUCAGCUCCAUCCACAUUACCGUGAAUGGCAAAAUUUCAUUCUUUUUGUUGGCUGAAUAAUAUUCCAUUGGGUGUGUGUCUGCCUCACA